rnacentral:rRNA from 1 species
UACGAAGGGGGCUAGCGUUGCUCGGAAUCACUGGGCGUAAAGGGUGCGUAGGCGGGUCUUUAAGUCCGGGGUGAAAUCCUGGAGCUCAACUCCAGAACUGCCUUCGAUACUGGAGAGCUUGAGUCCGGGAGAGGUGAGUGGAACUGCGAGUGUAGAGGUGAAAUGCGUAGAUAUCUGGAGGAACACCGGUGGCGAAGGCGGCAUCCUGGACCAACACUGACACUGAGACGCGAAAGCGUGGGGAGCAAACAGG